AAUGAACGUUGGCGGCGUGGAUUAGGCAUGCAGGUCGCGCGCGAAACGUAGCAAUACGUGGAGAGCGGCGUAAGGGAGAGUAAUGCAUGGUUAGCUACCCUCGGGACUGGGAUAGCGGCGGGAAACUGCCGGUAAUACCAGAUGACAUCUUCGGAUCAAACGUGUAAAUCGGCCCGAGGAGGCGACCGUGUCCUAUCAGCUAGUUGGCGGUGUAAUAGACCACCAAGGCUAAGACGGGUAUGGGGCGUGAGAGCGUGCCCCCACUCACUGGGACUGAGACACUGCCCAGACACCUUCGGGUGGCUGCAGUCGAAAAUCUUCGGCAAUGGGCGCAAGCCUGACCGAGCGACGCCGCGUGCGGGAUGAAGGCCUUCGGGUUGUAAACCGCUGUCGUAGGGGAGGAAGGCUCCGUGCAGAACGGAGUUUGACCGAUCCUAGGAGGAAGGGCCGGCUAAUCUCGUGCCAGCAGCCGCAGUAACAC
rnacentral:rRNA from 1 species